rnacentral:rRNA from 1 species
UACGUAGGGUGCAAGCGUUAAUCGGAAUUACUGGGCGUAAAGCGUGCGCAGGCGGUUAUGUAAGACAGUUGUGAAAUCCCCGGGCUCAACCUGGGAACUGCAUCUGUGACUGCAUAGCUAGAGUACGGUAGAGGGGGAUGAAAUUCCGCGUGUAGCAGUGAAAUGCGUAGAUAUGCGGAGGAACACCGAUGGCGAAGGCAAUCCCCCUGGACCUGUACUGACGCUCAUGCACGAAAGCGUGGGGAGCAAACAGGAU